rnacentral:rRNA from 1 species
AAAUGAAUAGACGGGGGCCCGCACAAGCGGUGGAGCAUGUGGUUUAAUUCGACGCAACGCGAAGAACCUUACCAGGGUUUGACAUCCUCUGACAGCCUAUGAAAGUAGGUUUUUCAUCUUCGGAUGGACAGGGAGACAGGUGGUGCAUGGUUGUCGUCAGCUCGUGUCGUGAGAUGUUGGGUUAAGUCCCGCAACGAGCGCAACCCCUACGUUUAGUUGCUAACACGUAAAGGUGAGAACUCUAGACGAACUGCCGUUGACAAAACGGAGGAAGGUGGGGAUGACGUCAAAUCAUCAUGCCCCUUAUAUCCUGGGCUACACACGUGCUACAAUGGCCGGUACAAAGGGAAGCAAGGCCGCGAGGCGGAGCGAAUCCCAAAAAGCCGGUCUCAGUUCGGAUUGCAGGCUGCAAUUCGCCUGCAUGAAGUCGGAAUCGCUAGUAAUCGCAGGUCAGCAUACUGCGGUGAAUACGUUCCCGGGCCUUGUACACACCGCCCGU